UGGGGGACUCUUGUUUUUCAUUGGGUUGAGAAAACGCACAACACUUAUCGAUAAACAAUUGGAGGGCAAGUCUGGGGCCCCCAGCCGCGGUAAUUCCAGCUCCAAUAGCGUAUAUUAACGUUGUUGCAGUUAAAAAGCUCGUAGUUGAAGUGAAGUGUGAACCUUCUGGAUUUUCGUUUGAAUUUCUUGCUGGUUCAUACUCUUUCCAAAUAGUUUGCAUGGGUAUUCAUUUAUCUGUGUAUUGCAUUUGGUCAUUUACUGUGAGAAAAUUAAAGUGUUCAAAGCAUACUUUUGUUUGAAUACAUUACCAUGGAAUAAUUCGAAAAGGCUUUCAUGUUCGAUUUGAUUGGUUUGUUCGUGAAGGCAAGAUUAAAAGGGACAGUUGGGGGUAUUCAUAUUCAAUAGUCAAAGGUGAAAUUCUCGGAUUUAUGGAAGAUGAACUACUGCGAAAGCAUUUACCAAGGAUGUUUUCAUUAAUCAAGAACGAAAGUUAGGGGAUCGAAGAGGCUUAGAUACCCUCGUAGCCUAAA
rnacentral:rRNA from 1 species